CCCUUAGAUGUUCUGGGCCGCACGCGCGCUACACUGAUGCAUUCAACGAGCCUAUCCUUGACCGACAGGUCCGGGUAAUCUUUGAAUCUGCAUCGUGACGGGGAUAGAUUAUUGCAAUUAUUAAUCUUCAACGAGGAAUGCCUAGUAGGCGCAAGUCAUCAGCUUGCGUCGAUUACGUCCCUGCCCUUUGUACACACCGCCCGUCGCUCCUACCGAUUGGGUGUGCUGGUGAAAUGUUCGGAUCGGCCGUUUGUCGCGGUUUCCGCGUCAUGUGGCUGAGAAGUACAUUAAACCCUCCCACCUAGAGGAAGGAGAAGUCGUAACA
rnacentral:rRNA from 1 species